UGAAAAACAGUUUGGAAACCAAACAUAUGGUGUGUUCUCUUAAUUAUUAGAUAGAAGAUGACACAAAACAAAGUAGAAAUAACAAGCACAUUAAGGGCUUAUGCAUACAACAUAAACAUUAUCCUGAUUACUUAUCGACUUCGUUCUCCUCUUGAAUUUAUCGAGAAUUAGAGAUGUUGGUUAUGAAAAGCAGAAUUAUAUCUGAUAAGCUAAAACAUAGCAAAGCUGGAAAAUUUGAUACUGCAACAAAAAGGACAAUCUUGCUGUUUUAACAUGAUAGUUAAACCUUAAUGUAAACCCCUCCAUUGUCAAAUGAGCAUGCAAAAAGUUACUCAGAUCAUCUACUCAUCUUAUGUUCAGAAACUAAACUGAGAUAUACAGUAAACAAAAUAAAUCUCAAGUACGAGAAUCUGCUCAAAAAAUAUAUCGAGAGAGACAGAGAAUAUGCCCUCUGCACAAACACAAGCAACCGUUCAUUAGAAGCACCAAAACAUGUCCACGGAAGCAGAUAAAUUCCUGUGCAAACAUCAGAGUAAUGUCAGUUUGGUAUUAUGAGGCAAUAUAAGAAAUUGAUGCAAAGCCAUAAACUGAUGUCUUGUGCCAUCUAUAAUUAAUUCUAUUUUGUGUGUGUGUGUUUGGGGCGGUCGGAUCCUUGAUACCAACCACUCCUACUGUGGCAAAUAAAUUAAAACCUGAAAAUAACAACAUAUUUCUGCAUCAAGAGUUCAGUAAGCAUCCGCUUGAGUUACCUCCUUAAGCGAUAAGUACUGAUAAAUCGGAGUCUCUGUAGUCAUAAUCAAGGAGAUAGAUGACAUAAACCCUUUUCCAGAAUUAGAGCAGCUUUACCAAAAUGUAAAGCAUAGAAAGAAGAGCAAACAAUAAUACUAGAUGAGUUCACUCUGAGAUUCAGAGAAGAAGGAAACAUAUAAAACUUUGUUUUGAAGACUUCAUAUGCCCUAACUUCUUCCCACCAUCUUAUAAUGCCGAAUUGACAUAAAUCCAAGUAUAAUAUGUAAGCCUAACUCCUUUUCACGCAAUACAGUUUACCACGAUGUAUUUUCUGAUGAAGUAAUCACUGCAUAUUUCACCAGGAAGGAAGAAUUACCAUUCACAAGACUACGGAUCAGUGGCAUCCAUCUUAUUGAAUCAAAUACGGGGACCAAAUUGACAAAUCACUUUGAAAAAAAUAUAAAUAUGAACAAGAAAACCCGGGAAU
rnacentral:lncRNA from 1 species